AUUGAACGCUGGCGGCAGGCCUAACACAUGCAAGUCGAACGAGUGGCGGACGGGUGAGUAAUGUCUGGGAAACUGCCUGAUGGAGGGGGAUAACUACUGGAAACGGUAGCUAAUACCGCAUACCAUCAGAUGUGCCCAGAUGGGAUUAGCUAGUGGGUGGGGUAAAGGCUCACAAAGGCGACGAUCCCUAGCUGGUCUGAGAGGAUGAGCAGCCACACUGGAACUGAGACAUGGCCCAGACUCCUACGGGAGGCAGCAGUGGGGAAUAUUUCACAAUGGGCGCAAGCCUGAUGCAGCAAUGCCGCGUGUAUGAAGAAGGCCUUCGGGUUGUAAAGUCCGUUCAGCGGGGAGGCGUUACCCGCAGAAGAAGCACCGGCUAACUCCGUGCCAGCAGCCGCGGUAAUAC
rnacentral:rRNA from 1 species